CCUUAAAGAACCUGUCUUUGUAGUGCUCACACAGAUUGUUUGAUAAAUAAUAAAUUUCAAAAUGUACUGCGAAGUGCAUUGUGUAAUUUUGCUCUUUAAGAAUCUGGAUCAAGCUGAAAAUUGAAACGACACACAGUCAAUGUGUGUUCGAGUCUCUCAAAUUUUCGCAAUCAGAAGUGAAACAUCUUCGGGUUGUGA
rnacentral:misc_RNA from 1 species